UUUUUCUUUUUUUUUUUGGAUUGUGAGCAUCUGCAGUCAGCAAUAUGCAGGAUAAUAAGAUGCAGCUAGAGAGCCUGACUUUCAGGAAAGGAGAAUGCUAUAGCUCCCUCCUAUGGCAUGAUUCAUUCCCUUUUUACUGGUCUUUUUAAAGUGAUCAUCCUAUUCUACUAUUUCAUUAACUUUUUUCAUUCAGCCAAUUAACUGCAGUGACAAUAUCAGGGAAGCCAUACUCUUUUUGCGCUGUGCUAUUCUGCUUUCCCUUAAAUUAGAGAUGUCUGUCCACAGGAAUGCUGGCCAUGAUAUCAAUUACUUAAGGAAAAUGGAUAAGACUCAUCAAACAGGCAAAAUGAUUUAUGAUCUUUCCAAACACAAUAAUCUAUCUUGUAAUAAUUUCCUUCAUGAAAUGUCAUCCUAGAAUUGAAUGGCCCAGUUGAGGAUCACACUGGGAAGAGACCAAAUGCAAGUAGAGUGACAUUUUGGCUUGUGAGAUUUGUCAGUACAAAGGGUACUGGGUUUCAUGUGGUUUCUCUGACACUUCUUGCUUUCAGAUCCACCUUCCCCACACCACUGCUCUCCUUGAUCCCUUCAAUCCCAAUGGUUCUUAUGUUGUCCUUCAAAGCAUCUGCUUGAAUAGCAGCCUAGAAAACAUCAGUACAGGCAAUGAAGCUGAUGCCAUUAUAUGAAAAGGGCCAUUAAAUCACCAUUUAAAAAUAAUUUUUAACCUACACUAUUGGGGUCACUAAUUAAAAAUCAAUUCCUCUCUGUGUUGCAAAUCUGACAGUAAUUCUACCUCCAAUGGGUACAGCAAGAUUAACAGCACAUCAGGUAAAUGCAGCUGGGAAAUGACAUUUUCAUUAGUGAUUUAUUGGGUGUGAAAUUUCCACCAUGGUGAAAUAUUCAUGAACAAAGCAGGUUAGAAUGUCUCCAUAAAUAUCCAUGUUACUAAUUACUGUUGAAGCCCACGCUGGAUUAAAUGUUCACAAAGCAAAGCAUUCACAAGCCACAGGAGAAUUCUCUAGGACAAGUCUUUUAGGGAGAAACCAAAAACACACAAAACCCAAUAAGCAGCAAAUUAAGAGCUUUCCUACUAAUCAUGGUAUAUCACUUCUCCUAUCCCCAGCAAAACAAUCAAACCAACCCCAAAACCCCAGGAGAAAGCAAAGCAAAGCUGUUUGUCCUGCUAAUGAAGAGUGCCAGGGAGUGAUCCUGGGCCUGAGGCCAAAUGGUGGGAAAGGCAGCAGCUACUCCACAUCCCCAUUCCUUGGGCUGGGGCAAAGCAUGUCCAGGUGAGCAUGUCCAGGUGACCUCACCCAGGCUGAAGGACUGGGGAGCAUUUGCUGUGUCCUCACAGCAGCCCAGAGUGACCAGUGGUGGCCAGGUCACCUUGUCCCUGUCCCCUGUCACCUCAGUGUAGUGACACCUCCCUGUAAUGGCCCCAGCCCUGCCUGUAGCACCUGGCUGCUCUGGGUUAUCCUGUGGGAUGGAACCAG
rnacentral:lncRNA from 1 species